AAUAGACCUCCCUACUGGAGAGACUGAGCAACAUGGCCAUUUCAGGGGGAGACUCUGGGGAUUUAUUGAUUGGACGUGAGAAUACUAAUCAUGAAAUAGCAUAGCUUGAACAUGCUUUUGUGACUACCAUUUGCAUAAAAAGGUAACACUUCAGUAUUGGGAAGGCAAGACAUUUCAGAACAUUAACAGUAGCAGUCUCAGAUCGAGUCAUAUUCCUUACCAGUUCUUCAGGCUUCUCAUUUUCCAGGGUCUAGAGAACUGGGACAACACACAUAUAAUGCUGUCUGUAACAAGUAAGUUAUCAAAUACAUUUGCUAUACUGGACAGAUACUGAAAAUGAAACUCCUAUCUCCAGCAAACCUAGAGAGUAAUGUUUUCUCUCUCAAACUUACUGGAAAACUGCAUACACUUUGGAUUUUGAAAUAGCUUUCUGUUUGAGUCUUGUAAUCAAGAAGUUAAUUAAUUUCAAUCAAUUUUUGUAAUCAAACACUUUAAACUUUCCUUCCUCUUUACAUAUUAAUUUUGUCAGCUUGAAGUAUUCAAAACUCAAAAAUGAGGAACCCCUUAAAAUUUUGAGCAAGACUACACUGUUAUAUAGUUUAUCAUAUUUGUAUAUUUUGCCCUUUAUCUUUCUGUUGUGUUAGGGGGUUUUUUGUUUGUUGGGUUUGGGGUUUUUUUUUACUUUACUUUUUUAGAGUAGCUCAUCAAAGACAGAACGUGCAUCUUCUUAGGCACUUGCUAGUCCUCUGCUUUGUCAGUGGACCCCCACUGGCAGCCCCAACAAAAGGAUUGCAAGCUAUCUGCAGAGGACAGGCAGUUAUAUAGGCCUAAAUGGGCUUGGAGGACUUAUGCCUGUAUUUUAUCUGGCUUGGGGCAUUUCUCUCUCGUUGUACCACUCGUUGGCCACACCAGCCACCCCGGGAAUUUCAGAGGUCAAGAUGAAGAAAACAGGCACCCAGCUUGAAACCUGGACCCCAACAAAGCAUUCACUACCUUUUCAGAAGUAUCAAGACGUAAAGGCUGAGACAAAUAAUAUUUUAGGUUUGUUUGUGCUAGUGAUGUAGGCUAGACCCAAUGAAAGAUCUAAUCUAUGCUUCUAUGCACAAGUGGAUGCAAAUUGCACUGAUUCAGUGCAGAACACAGAACGCUGGAGUUUUCUGUGCUGCUGUACAUUUGGAUAUGUCAAAAGCAACCAGUAUGAAGACACUGCACUUUAAGUAACUCCUAAAGUGUAGUACAAUUUUGUUUAUUAAGGUAGAAAUCAGAAUGGCCCAGCCUGAGCUCUUCUACUUUAGAUGCAAACCCCUCUGAUUAUGGGCUGAUAGUAUGUUAUACCUUGUGCCUGCUGUUCUCAGUUCCCUGCAGAUGGGAUUCAACAAGGUACCUCAAGCACCAGUAACAUGAAGUACUCCACUAAAUAGGGUCCUGAAAGACAUCAGACCCUUAAAAGCCAGUUUGGCCUGCUGAGAGAUGAGCAACUGAUGAGAGGAUCCAAAUCGUCAGUUCAGUGAGAGAAUCUUUCUAUUGUAGGGAUGAAAAGCUCAGGGGAUCUCACUCAUGCUCAGUGGUCUUGUAAUUAAAUGUUACACACUUGAUGAGCAUUACAUUGCAAGCCUCAAGGCUAAUUUACAUGUUACCACCAAAAUGUCUUAUUUUAUUUUGCUUGUAAAAAUACUGUGCAGGCAUCAUUGCAUGUCAUUGCAAAUGGUUUGUAUCAAUGAUGCUUGGGUGACUCAAAAUUACUAAAAGCUGUACAUAAUUACUGCUAAAAAGCCCCAUGCAGAACCAAUAGUACUUCCUCUACAAUAGAUAUUUUAUGACUAAGAAGGCUUUCCUGAUGUGACAAUGUUAGGAUCACAAACAAGCAGCCUGCCAGCAAAUAAAGAAUAGCAUUUUGGGGAAACAAAAUAGUUUGAUUCAAUUAUAGUACUACAUGUAUCAUUAAAGUGUAUGUUGCUUUUCUGAGAGUUGUCCAUUAAUUCAAAACAGGAAGGCAGGGUGGGAGGAAAGAGAGAAAAAUGAAAAUAGGUAGGAGCUUCUUGUAAGAAUGGUGAUAGGUAUGAUGUCAAUAUAAGAUAUUUACUGGCAUAUUUUAAUGCUUUAUGUUGUAAAAGUUGCUGUUACUGAUUUGGGCCACAUGACUCGUGUCACUCUUUACACAAGAUAAGGGAAAGGAGAUGAAGCUUCUCAAGACUCUGGGAUCCAUUUAGUACAUACUCCUGUAUCAGUUUCUUGGUCGGGGGAGGUCAUUCCACAAGAAGCAUUUCAAUGCACACAUAUCAGAUGGACUGAACGGCCGUUUCUUACAAUUCUCUAUUUCUUUUAUACUUGACUGACUUUAAAGCAAUGCUAAAGCACUGCAAUCAUUUAUUGGAAUAUAUUAAUAAUAAUAAAUUACAGUUUCAUUCACUGAAUUCCAGCUCUUAGAAGAAUAAACAACCUUGUGCAGAUGCAGAAGAAAGGCAGAGAAAUAUUAGAUGACUUACAGUCUGCAGCAGGUGAGUGAAAGAAUUAGAUACAGAACCUCUGGCCUCUGGCCUUUCUUUCAAAUAAUCUUUCCUGUGUUUGUGCCACAGUAAAAUGAUUUUGCAUAUGUCCUGUCUCAGAAAUAUGAAAAAUAUAUGCAAUAUGCAAAGCAGCCAAUUGGGCUGCCUUUUGGAAUAUAUCAUCAUUUAUGAAGGGUGCAUCUUGAAGCCUAAACAGAUUGUGUGCAAUUAAUUGCAAACUGUCAAAGAGACUACAGCACUUUACUGCCAAUUUGUAAAUAAAACCUACUAUGCAAAAGGACGGAGGCAAGUGAGGUGAAUUUCUCUGGAUAAAGGAAAGGCAAUGCACAAAUGCAGUGCAACACAAUUUUUACACUCCAGCCUUUAAGAAUUUUGCUGACCCUGUAAGAAAAUGGUGUGGUGCAGAGUCAUUGAAUGCAGGUAAGCUUCUCCAUAGGUAAAUAUUUUACAUAACCUAAAUGAAGAACUCCCAGCUUACUUGAUAGAAGAAUAAAGAAGUCACCAUGUGCAAAAAGAAAAUUGUUCUUUUUAGUAAAAUCUUGGAAAAUACAUGAGCAUAUUUGUACCCUAAAGAUGUGCUGAACAAUGGUGAUGAUGAUGUGCAAACAAAGCAGAUUCCCUUUAUGUCCCGAUUAUGACCCUCAAAUGAUCUUUGUUAUAAAUAUACUCAUCCUGGUGACUGGCCAAUACCUGACUGGACUCCUUAUCCGGUGCUGUCUAGCUCCCUUUGUAUCACUGCUGUUACCAUCCUACAGCUCGUUGUUCCCCUCAUAAUAUUCAAUAAAUACAAUAUGUUUGGUGCCACUGCUGAUCUGCUGAGCCAGUCAGUGGCCAGCCCAGUAACUCAGUCUUGGUCUCAGCUUCAGAAGAAAAAUGAUGAUGGCUGUCUUUCUAAGUUUGAAACAACCCCCCGGUGAACAGCAUCACAAAUGUGAUACAGACCCUCAGUAAUUACUGAAACAGCAGUUUGUCACAAGCUGCCUGCAGCACUGAUGGACAAUCUGCUUGUGGAUAUAGUUAGAGGAAGGAAUGUGUAAGAAAAUAUGAUAUUUGUGACAGGCUUAACUUGGAUUUUUUGUUUCAGGGGAUGAAGCGUACAUGUGGAGGCAGUGUUGAUGAAGAACUAGGUACCCAUUUGCAUCAACAAUUCUUUCCACCUCUCUGGUAUUUAAUAUAUAUGCAAAAUUUACUCCAGUGUAAAUAAGAAUUUGGCUCAAGUAGCAACCACAUCUACAUGAAGUGCAUUUAGUAUCUCCCCUAAGUUCACAUAUAUCACCAGUUUCCAAAACAAGUAGAUUUAGCCCUUGAGGAAGAGCAGAUCUGCCUACAUAGCCCAGUCACCCUUCACACUGGUACCAUGGAGGGGGGUCCUUGUGUUGCUCAGCAAACAAAAAAAUCCCUUCUCUACUCCCCUGAGCCUUGUAACAGCCCAGAGCUUCCUGCAGCAUAAAGGUACUUCCCUGUGCUCUGUGCAUCUGAAAAGAAAUGGAAAUCUAAAAGUCCUCUUCAUGUGAAACAGUUCUCUUUAUUCUUUUUCUGCCCUAAUCUUGUAGUGCAAUUGCAGCUCCAGAAAUGACAAAACAUCUGAGUCCACCGAGGUGAGGUAAAUUCAAGGUUGAGAGAUGAUGAAAGAAAAAAUGGACUCUUAGUCCGAUAGGCUUUGGAUGGAGCUUUACAGGGAAUCAGGACACCAAAGGAUGCUGUUGUAGGGGGCAGCUGCCUAUGUCGGGGAAACACAGGUCCAGCUGUCUGGAAAAUCAGAAAUCUAGAAUUGAGAGGAGGGAAUGCACUGCUUAGCCCCAGCCAAAUUAACAAUGACUUUUUGUUUCACAGCUUAAUAUUUAAGCAAUGUUGUUCCAAUUAGUCAAUUGAAGACAUUUUGUCUUCUAUGAGAGGUAUCCUCUCCUCCUCGACUUCCAGGAUUUUUUUUAAAACUAGAUUGCACUUGGCUCUAGGUACAGAAGAUUUCCUUCAGAAAUCUUUGCUGAGUCGAUGGCACAAACAGCUAUGUUCCUCCAGACUUUAUUAACUCAAACUGUCAAAAUCUACGUGUCCACCUCCCCUUGUUUGUUAUUUUGUUUGUUGCAGUGCUGGAGAUUGCUCGUGUUUCGCCAGAAAAGGCUCUCCAGUCUGCAGCUCUCGGAUUUUCCCCUCUCGUGUCACUCAAGCAAACUGCCCUGAGCUUCCCUGCCACCGAGGUCGGAGCAGAGCCACCGCAGCCCUCUGGCCCCCGCCGGGAGCCCGGCACACCAGCACCCGCUCGGAGUCCCGGAGCUGUGGGGGCACACACAGACACACACACACACACACACACACACACACACGAGCUGGGCUCCCCAGCGCUGCCGAGAGCCAAAUGGGAUUUUGCCUGAAUGAGUACUGGGGGUGGGCUCUCAUUCAGAGCCACAAACAACUCCUUAAAAUACCACGAGUGCAUGGAAGAUGGAAAUUUCCUAUAUUAUGAUUUCAGAAAGCAGCAGAUGAACACUGGACAUAAUGACAAGUCCCCCCCGCUCUGAACAGCUCACUCAAACCCACUGAGCCUUCUGAACAAUCCAGCUUCAGCCCUUGACUGUGUUCAUUACAUUAUUUUGAUGCACUGUGAUGAAUGCAAGAGAUCACUAUACAUUAAAAGCAGAGUUCAGUAACCAGUAUGGAACAGUGUCCAUAUGCUGGCUGACAGCUUUACCCUACAGUUACUGGGCUAGUAGUUUUCAGCCAAAAGUCAGGAGAAUUUGGUAGUCAAGGUUUUGCCCUCCCAUUCCCCUCUCUCUGCCACUGAAGUAAUAUGAAGUAAUAAUUUUCAACUGAAUAUUUUUAAGUGUUAUCUGUAUCCGUAGUUGCCAGUAAGAGCUCAACCCCGUUCCUCUUACCACCACCUCUGCAGAUGCUCCUGGAAAGUCAGCAGGAGACCUCCACCACCCCUGGCUAUUGCCAGCAGGACUCUGAAGUGUUCCAGCUCUGGUGAGGUACCAGUGUGUGAUGAGGAGCACUGAUGCUUUCCUGGGAUACCACAAUAGAGAAAUAACUGCAGCGAGAAUUGUCCCAGUAGAAGUUCAAAGAUCUUAAGUCUGUGACAAGAAAAACAAAUCAAGCUUCUGACCUUGGCAUCAUCGCUCACUUAGGAAUUUUUUGUACCUGAAAGAAAAUCUGCUGAUAUCCCAAGCAAGUAAUAAAUCACCUCACGUCAUCAGUAAAUACAGCUGUAAAACAGACAUCUCAAGGCCCGCCUGUUCUCGUUCCUUCUGGUAACUCUGUCCAUCAAAGCCCUCAAAGUGGUCAAGGUGGUUAGGGGUGGGAGGCCCACCCAGUUUCCUGCCAGGGGGGUCACCACUAAACAUCAAGCAACUUCCAGCUCAGGAGGGAAGACUCUCCUGGAUUCAAAUACACAAGCUAAAAAUA